rnacentral:rRNA from 1 species
UAACUGCAGUCGAGCGGAUGGAUUAAGAGCUUGCUCUUAUGAAGUUAGCGGCGGACGGGUGAGUAACACGUGGGUAACCUGCCCAUAAGACUGGGAUAACUCCGGGAAACCGGGGCUAAUACCGGAUAACAUUUUGCACCGCAUGGUGCGAAAUUCAAAGGCGGCUUCGGCUGUCACUUAUGGAUGGACCCGCGUCGCAUUAGCUAGUUGGUGAGGUAACGGCUCACCAAGGCAACGAUGCGUAGCCGACCUGAGAGGGUGAUCGGCCACACUGGGACUGAGACACGGCCCAGACUCCUACGGGAGGCAGCAGUAGGGAAUCUUCCGCAAUGGACGAAAGUCUGACGGAGCAACGCCGCGUGAGUGAUGAAGGCUUUCGGGUCGUAAAACUCUGUUGUUAGGGAAGAACAAGUGCUAGUUGAAUAAGCUGGCACCUUGACGGUACCUAACCAGAAAGCCACGGCUAACUACGUGCCAGCAGCCGCGGUAAUACGUAGGUGGCAAGCGUUAUCCGGAAUUAUUGGGCGUAAAGCGCGCGCAGGUGGUUUCUUAAGUCUGAUGUGAAAGCCCACGGCUCAACCGUGGAGGGUCAUUGGAAACUGGGAGACUUGAGUGCAGAAGAGGAAAGUGGAAUUCCAUGUGUAGCGGUGAAAU